GACGAACGCUGGCGGCGUGCCUAAACAUGCAAGUAGAACGCUGAAGAGAGGAGCUUACUCUUCUUGGAUGAGUUGCGAACGGGGGAGUAACGCGUAGGUAACCUGCCUUGUAGCGGGGGAUAACUAUUGGAAACGAUAGCUAAUACCGCAUAACAAUGGAUGACACAUGUCAUUUAUUUGAAAGGGGCAAUUGCUCCACUACAAGAUGGACCUGCGUUGUAUUAGCUAGUAGGUGAGGUAAUGGCUCACCUAGGCGACGAUACAUAGCCGACCUGAGAGGGUGAUCGGCCACACUGGGACUGAGACACGGCCCAGACUCCUACGAGAGGCAGCAGUAGGGAAUCUUCGGCAAUGGGGGCAACCCUGACCGAGCAACGCCGCGUGAGUGAAGAAGGUUUUCGGAUCGUAAAGCUCUGCUGUAAGUCAAGAACGGGUGUGAGAGUGGAAAGUUCACACUGUGACGGUAGCUUACCAGAAAGGGACGGCUAACUACGUGC
rnacentral:rRNA from 1 species